AAAAAGACAAACUCUGGUUUCCGUGCCCAACAUUUGACCGUCCGUCUUAUUUAAAAAAAUUAUGAAAAAAAUUAAAAAGAUAAGUCACGCAUAAAAUAUUAAUCAUAUUUUAUCAUCUAACAACAAUAAAAAUACGAAUUAUAAAAAAAUUUCAUAUAAGACGAACAGUCAAAAUUGGAUAUGAAAACCCAAGGUUUGUUUUUUU
rfam:Oryza rufipogon genomic scaffold, chr04